CUGAAGAGGGCCGUGUUUCAGAUAGGUCUAGUUACUGAAGAGGGCCAUGUUUCAGAUAGGUCUAGUUACUGAAGAGGGCCAUGUUUCAGAUAGGUCUAGUUACUGAAGAGGGUCAUGUUUCAGAUAGGUCUAGUUACUGAAGAGGACCGUGUUUCAGAUAGGUCUAGUUACUGAAGAGGGCCGUGUUUCAGAUAGGUCUAGUUACUGAAGAGGACCAUGUUUCAGAUAGGUCUAGUUACUGAAGAGGGUCAUGUUUCAGAUAGGUCUAGUUACUGAAGAGGGUCAUGUUUCAGAUAGGUCUAGUUACUGAAGAGGGUCAUGUUUCAGAUAGGUCUAGUUACUGAAGAGGGUCAUGUUUCAGAUAGGUCUAGUUACUGAAGAGGGCCGUGUUUCAGAUAGGUCUAGUUACUGAAGAGGGCCAUGUUUCAGAUAGGUCUAGUUACUGAAGAGGGCCAUGUUUCAUUCACCCAUUCCCGAGUACCACAGAGUAUUACAACACACACCGAGUACCACAGAGUAUUACAACACACACCGAGUACCACAGAGUAUUACAACACACACCGAGUACCACAGAGUAUUACAACACACACCGAGUACCACAGAGUAUUAUAACACACACCGAGUACCACAGAGUAUUACAACACACACCGAGUACCACAGAGUAUCACAACACACACCGAGUACCACAGAGUAUCACAACACACACCGAGUACCACAGAGUAUCACAACACACACCAAGUACCACAGAGUAUUACAACACACACCAAGUACCACAGAGUAUUACAACACAAAUACACAACACUGUUCAGAACAACACCAUUAUUGAAUGAGUAGGUGUGUCCAAACCGUUGACUGGUAUAUACACACACACAGAAAGUACACCCCUUGACUGGUAUAUAUACACACACAGAAAGUACACCCCUUGACUGGUAUAUACACACACACAGAAAGUACA